rnacentral:rRNA from 1 species
GACGAACGCUGGCGGCGUGCUUAACACAUGCAAGUCGAACGGUGAAGCGCCUUCCUUUUUGGUGGGUGUGGAUGAGUGGCGAACGGGUGAGUAACACGUGAGUAACCUGCCCCCUCCUCCGGGUUACCGGAAGAAAGGUGUGCCAAUAAGGGGAAAUCCGGGGUCGGUGGCUGGAGGGGUUGGGGAAGGUAUUGGUUUCGGGGGGGGAGGGGCUCGGGGCCUAUCAGCUUGUUGGUGGGGUGAUGGCCUACCAAGGCGGUGACGGGUAGCCGGCCUGAGAGGGUGGACGGUCACACUGGGACUGAGACACGGCCCAGACUCCUACGGGAGGCAGCAGUGGGGAAUAUUGCACAAUGGGCGCAAGCCUGAUGCAGCGACGCCGCGUGAGGGAUGGAGGCCUUCGGGUUGUGAACCUCUUUCGCCAGUGAAGCAGGCCUGCCUCGUUUGUGGGUGGGUUGACGGUAGCUGGAUAAGAAGCGCCGGCUAACUACGUG